GACGAACGCUGGUGGCGUGCCUAAUACAUGCAAGUCGAACGCAUUUUCUUUCACCGUAGCUUGCUACACCGAAAGAAAAUGAGUGGCGAACGGGUGAGUAACACGUGGGUAACCUGCCCAUCAGCGGGGGAUAACACUUGGAAACAGGUGCUAAUACCGCAUAAUUCCAUUUACCGCAUGGUAAAUGGAUGAAAGGCGCUUUUGCGUCACUGAUGGAUGGACCCGCGGUGCAUUAGCUAGUUGGUGGGGUAACGGCCUACCAAGGCUGCGAUGCAUAGCCGACCUGAGAGGGUGAUCGGCCACACUGGGACUGAGACACGGCCCAGACUCCUACGGGAGGCAGCAGUAGGGAAUCUUCGGCAAUGGACGCAAGUCUGACCGAGCAACGCCGCGUGAGUGAAGAAGGUUUUCGGAUCGUAAAACUCUGUUGUUAGAGAAGAACAAGGAUGAGAGUGGAAAGUUCAUCCCUUGACGGUAUCUAACCAGAAAGCCACGGCUAACUACGUG
rnacentral:rRNA from 1 species